rnacentral:misc_RNA from 1 species
GAUUCAUAGAUUUAACGUAAUUUAUUGGUAAAGAUUGAAUCUUUUUGGGAUUCUGAGAAAAUGGGUUUGCUUGAAGGGACUUUUCUUGAUUGGGAAUAUGAAUCUUAUCCAUCAUAUGAAGAUUUCGCUGUUCUUCCAUUGUUUGCUCUCUUCUUUCCAUCUGUCAGAUUUUUGCUCGAUAGAUUUGUUUUUGAGAAAGUGGCCAGAAGGUUAAUAUUUGGAAAAGGACAAGAAGUGGUAGAAAAUGAGACUGAUGACCGGAGGAGAAGGAUACGGAAAUUCAAAGAAUCAGCAUGGAAAUGUAUAUAUUUUCUCUCUGCAGAAGUUUUUGCACUUGUGGUGACAUACAAUGAGCCUUGGUUUACAAAUACCAGAUACUUUUGGGUAGGGCCUGGUGAUCAGGUCUGGCCUGACCAGAUGUACAAGUCCAAACUGAAGGCACUUUAUAUGUAUACCGGCGGGUUCUAUACAUAUUCAAUAUUUGCGCUAAUAUUUUGGGAGACAAGGCGCUCUGACUUUGGAGUUUCAAUGAGUCAUCAUGUUGCCACUGCAAUUCUUAUCGUCUUAUCCUAUAAUAUCAGGUUUGCACGUGUCGGU